AGGUGUUAUGCCCUUUUGACUGCUGCAGCUAUGGGUUUGCUUUGUGAAAAGAGUCAAGGCCAAAAAGAUUCGAUUUGAUUCAAAAGAAAUCCGCGGUUAGCGGGACGUGUUUAGCGCAUCCCGAAGCAUCAAAACAAACUAUUAUCG
ensembl:ncRNA F28F5.17 ncRNA